AAGAGAAAGUUAUAUUGACGGUUGAAACUGUGAAGUUGGAGAAACUAUUAGAGAGAGAGCUGGAAGACGAGGAAGAAGCACCAUCGAGCUUGAAAGCAGGUUAAUAAUGACUUACCGAUUGUCUUUUUAUUGUUUCCAAAUGUUUUCUCUCUCUACUCAGGGCGCCUACAGCACUUGGCAGAAGGUCCACUGUGGCCCACAAGGAAACAAAACACAAACAUGCAACUAACGAACCCAUCAAAAAGGCAAUAGAAAAGAGAAUGACCUGGCCCAAAUGAGCGUCAGUGCCCAGUGGGAGAGGGCACAGCUGGUGUUGCGAGCGAUUGCCACCGCCGACAGUCUGUCCUUUCACAGUCCUCCCUCUCUACUUAGCAAGCCCGGCAUUAGCUGUAGUUGCUAGUCCGGGGAGAGAGAAAAAAACACUCACUGGCAACAGAUGUUGUCGGCCAUAUUAGCUAGCUGCUAGGACCUAUAUCUAGGAGGAGGAGGAGGAAGAAGGGAGGGGGAGGAGGAGACAGACAGUAAUGUAAAGUGUCAGUUCUAUCCAAUCACAGAUGAGGUGCUUGAUAACAUCAGGAAGUGGAUUGACUGCUAUAGUAACCCCAAUAUGGAUUGACGGGUACAGUAGCAGUGGGCAACUGUAAUGAGCUUCAGGUGUGUGUGUGUGUGUGUGUGUACAGC
ensembl:lncRNA